rnacentral:rRNA from 1 species
UACGUAGGUGUCGAGCGUUGUCCGGAUUUAUUGGGCGUAAAGAGCCCGCAGGCGGCUUGUCUAGUCCGAGGUGAAAUCUCCCGGCUCAACUGGGAGGGUGCCUCGGAAACUGGCAGGCUUGAGGCAGGGAGAGGGAUGUGGAAUUCCAGGUGUAGUGGUGAAAUGCGUAGAUAUCAGGAGGAACACCGGUGGUGUAGACGGCUUACUGGACCACGACUGACACUGAGGCACGAAAGCGUGGGUAGCAAACAGG